rnacentral:lncRNA from 1 species
AACACUUACAACAUGACACGCACAACACAAGAUAUUCUUAACUAAAGUUUCAAAACAUUACAUUGAUUAAAUUGAUUAGAAUUACACAACUAUAAAUAAUUAGUGCAACACUGAUUAGUGUUAGUGGAUUACCAGGAAAGGCAUAAACAGUAAACUUUACCCCUCCUCUUAAUGAUCAUAUGAUGCUGGCCAAACACAAUCUGCUUGGCGAGGAAGAAAGGAGGAGGACAACUAGCUUACUCCCUUUACCUGACAGAAAGAAGGAAAGAACGACAGAAGGAGAGAAAGAGAGAGUUGCUUUGAAGGCAUAGGAAUAGACCAAGAACAGACAACAGAAGACAUCAGGAGCCUACAAGUACAAAGGAUUUUAAAAAGGGGGAGCAUGACUACUAUGCAAGUGAUGGUGCAUGGACCAAAGAAACAUUUGAGAGACAAUUCUAAUGAACAGCUCACUUUGGAUAGAGGAGUGGACAAUACUGCGAGUCCCCCUAAAAAACUGUCCCACUCUAUUGAGGAGAUCCUGAAGAAGCCAUCCAGAGUGGGAGAAGAGAGGCAAGAGGGGCUAGGUGGAUGGUCGGUUAACAGACAGAAUGAAGAAUGUCCAUAUCAGCAUGUACAUACAGGCACUGUGUGUUCAAUUGGCCUUGACUUGUUAUGUUACCAUUAUGGGCAGGCCUAUGUAACAUAAGAGAUUUUGGGAGAGUAUACAUUACAAGGAGGCAAAGGGGUUAGAUGUCAAAUGGCUGAUUCUGUCUCAAGUCUGGGAAAUUGUAUUCUGUGUAUCAUAUUUUAUGUUAUCUGAAUUGAGCUAGUAGUUCUUAAGAGUUAUUUUUAGGACAAAGAUAAUCAAGCAAUAUUAUGCUUUCUUUCUGUCCACAGAAGGAACUUUUCAACACAGGGUGCUGCCACAGCAUGUGCACAUUGUCACUGACUGGAGAGGUGACCACAACACAGAGGUCACAAGACUACACCCUGGAGAGUGCAAUAUUGACCGCAUCUCCCAAGACCACAGUGGGGACUCCAGCAGCCACAGUAGUGGCUCCUGUAAAGAUAGUAUUCAGGACAGAGCGGGGAGAGAGGAGGGCCAGGACCAAGGCCGAAUCCAGUGGGAGAGGAUCAGCUGCCAAGCUCAUCAUGUGCAGAGGAGGAGAAGGAAGACCUGGACCAUCUUCACUCCAGGUCAGGUGGAGAAGGAAGACCCGGACCAGCUUCACUCCAGGUCAGGAGGAGAAGGAAGACCCGGACCAGCUUCACUCCAGGUCAGGAGGAGAAGGAAGACCCGGACCAGCUUCACUCCAGGUCAGGUGGAGGAGCUGGAGAAGGUGUUCUUGGAGACCCACUAUCCUGAUGUCCACAUCCGGGACACACUUGCCUCUCAUCUGCAGCUCACCGAGGGAAGAGUACAGAUUUGGUUCCAGAACCACAGAGCCAAAUGGAGGUAGACUGAGAUGCUAAGGGACGUGGAAAUGAUGGCCAGAGACCAGACCCCUAUAUGUACAUUCAAACCUGGGCUUCUUUAUAGUGAGGUAACCAUGGUUGGCAGAGGAAGAACAAUGAUUCCAAGCACCACCCUCCUUUUGAAGCUUCCGGUCUGUUAUUCGAACUCAAUCAGCAUGACAGAGUGAUCUCCAGCCUUGUCCUUGUCAACACUCACACCUGUGUUAACAAGAGAAUCACUGACAUGAUGUCAGCUGGUCCUUGUGUGGCAGGUCCGAAAUGCAGUGGAAAUGUUUUUGGGGGAUUCAGUUCAUUCGCAUGGCAAAGAGGGACUUUGCAAUUAAUUGCAAUUCAUCUGAUCACUCUUCAUAACAUUCUGGAGUAUAUGCAAAUUGCCAUCAUUCAAACUGAGGCAGCAGACUUUGUGAAAAUUUAUAUUUGUGUCAUUCUCAAAACUUUUGACCACGACUGUAUAUGUGAUUGUAUAAGACGUGAGUCAUGCUUGAGACAGUUGACAAAAACCUCAAUAAAAUGAUCCUGUAAUUUGUUUCCAUGACAAAACAGCGUGAAGAGGCUAUCUCUCUGUUUCCGUUGAAUCCUUGCUCACUACAGUACGGGCCAUACCAACUACUAGAAAAGCUUUACCCAGGGGUAUUGCCGUUCCAACCUUUUCUACCUGUGUUGCCACACCUGCAUCACCAAGCUCUAUGCUCCCCCUGGACCCGACAUUAAUUUCCCAUCCCAAUAGUCACUUUCAGUUGACACA